rnacentral:misc_RNA from 1 species
CGAAAUGCGAUAAUUAAUGUGAAUUGCAGAAUUCAGUGAAUCAUCGAGUCUUUGAACGCACAUUGCGCCCCCUGGUAUUCCGGGGGGCAUGCCUGUCCGAGCGUCAUUGCUGCCCUCAAGCACGGCUUGUGUGUUGGGCUUCCGUCCCUGGCAACGGGGACGGGCCCAAAAGGCAGUGGCGGCACCAUGUCUGGUCCUCGAGCGUAUGGGGCUUUGUCACCCGCUCCCGUAGGUCCAGCUGGCAGCUAGCCUCGCAACCAAUCUUUUUAACCAGGUUGACCUCGGAUCAGGUAGGGAUACCCGCUGAACUUAAGC